rnacentral:rRNA from 1 species
UACGGGGGGGGCAAGCGUUGUUCGGAAUUACUGGGCGUAAAGGGCUCGUAGGUGGCCAACUAAGUCACACGUGAAAUCCCUCGGCUUAACCGGGGAACUGCGUGUGAUACUGGAUGGCUUGAGUUUGGGAGAGGGAUGCGGAAUUCCAGGUGUAGCGGUGAAAUGCGCAGAUAUCAGGAGGAACACCAGCGGCGAAGGCGGCGCUCUGGGCCGGAACUGACGCUGAGGAGCGAAAGCGUGGGUAGCAAACAGG